UCAUCAGAACUAAAAUAUUUUCAGCUUUUCAUCCAACAUAGAAGUCCGAAGCUAAUUUUUUAUCAAUUUUAACUAUGAAAAUAAUCUUUCUCCACGGCUGUUGGUGACUAUUAAUGAGAGGUAUAUUUUCAAAGUGACCUCAAUAUUGAGAAAACUAUCGCUGACGUUUUUGUCCAAAAGGAUAUAAAACAUUUUUUUUUGGUGCGGGUCCUUCUGUGGUGCGGGCUUCUAGGCUGCAACCUAUGAAGCUUGCGUUUAAAUACGGCCCUGUCUAUACCCUAUGGCCAGUAGUUUUAAGAGUCUGCUCUAUUGUCUAUAAUACCUAGUUGUUAACUUUAUAACUAAAUUAAAUGUAAACAAAAAAUCAAGAAAAACAUUUUAUUAAAUUAUCGCUGUAAUAGUGCAAUUUUAUGAGUUGUUCUAUUGGCCCAAUUUUUAUCUUUAAAUAAAAUAUUUGGAAAAACCCUAGCAAAUCAUAAGUCAUUACUACAAUCUAUAUUUUAUACACGAUGCAGGUUAUCAGCCUGUAAACGGAAUUUGUUUUUUAGUUUUUAAAUUAUUUUUAUUGGGCUACUACAGUUGUUACCUAUUGUGUUAUUCCAUAGACCUUAUACUAAUAGACUGGCCUUGCAUAUAGAGGAACUAAACUAGUAACCGGUAAAACAUACUGCGAUGGUGUACAGUAUAAUUACAUCAGUUUUGUCAUUGUAUGUGUAGUACAAUGUACAAUAAUACCACUUAAAAGUUACAAGUUACAUGUGAAGAGCGUCAUC